UACGUAGGCAGCAAGCGUUGUUCGGAGUUACUGGGCGUAAAGAGUGCGUAGGUGGUGCCCUAAGUCUGUUGUGAAAUCUCCCGGCUUAACUGGGAGGGUGCGGUGGAAACUGGGGUGCUUGAGUGUGGGAGAGGUAAGCGGAAUUCCUGGUGUAGCGGUGAAAUGCGUAGAUAUCAGGAGGAAUACCGGUGGUGUAGACGGCUCUCUGGACCGCGACUGACGCUGAGACACGAAAGCGUGGGUAGCAAACAGG
rnacentral:rRNA from 1 species